rnacentral:rRNA from 1 species
AUUGAACGCUGGCGGCAUGCCUUACACAUGCAAGUCGAACGGUAACGCGGGGCAACCUGGCGACGAGUGGCGAACGGGUGAGUAAUGCAUCGGAACGUGCCCAGAAGUGGGGGAUAGCCCGGCGAAAGCCGGAUUAAUACCGCAUGAGACCUGAGGGUGAAAGCGGGGGAUCGCAAGACCUCGCGCUUUUGGAGCUGCCGAUGUCAGAUUAGCUAGUUGGUGGGGUAAAGGCCUACCAAGGCGACGAUCUGUAGCUGGUCUGAGAGGACGACCAGCCACACUGGGACUGAGACACGGCCCAGACUCCUACGGGAGGCAGCAGUGGGGAAUUUUGGACAAUGGGCGCAAGCCUGAUCCAGCCAUGCCGCGUGCGGGAAGAAGGCCUUCGGGUUGUAAACCGCUUUUGUCAGGGAAGAAACGCUCUGGGCUAAUACCCUGGGGUAAUGACGGUACCUGAAGAAUAAGCACCGGCUAACUACGUG